CAGCCGCCGCGGUAAAACCAGCACCUCGAGUGGUCAGGAGGUUUAUUGGGCCUAAAGCAUCCGUAGCCGGUUGCAUAAGUUUUCGGUUAAAUCUAUGCGCUCAACGUAUAGGCCGCCGAAAAUACUGUGCAGCUAGGGAGUGGGAGAGGUACACGGUACUCAAUAGGAAGGGGUAAAAUCCUUUGAUCUAUUGAUGACCACCUGUGGCGAAGGCGGUGUACCAGAACACGUUCGACGGUGAGGGAUGAAAGCUGGGGGAGCAAACCGGAUUAGAUACCCGGGUAGUCCCAGCUGUAAACGAUGCAGACUCGGUGAUGCAUUGGCCUGUGGCCAAUGCAGUGCCGCAGGGAAGCCGUUAAGUCUGCCGCCUGGGAAGUACGUACGCAAGUAUGAAACUUAAAGGAAUUGGCGGGGGAGCAC
rnacentral:rRNA from 2 species